GGAUGUGAGGGCAAUCAGGCUGCGACAUCUGUCAUCCCAUUGAUUGCUAGGAUUGAUUCAGCUGAUCUGGCUGGCUAGGUGGGUGUCCCCUUCCUCCAUCACCACUCCAUGUGAUGUGCGUCCCUCCUGAAGCUGCGCAGUGGGUCAAAGAGGAUGACCAUCCCCGAGAGAGUAGGACCAGUCUUCAGUAAAGCGUAUACCAAUAUCUGCGCUCCCCUGAUAGAACCUCCAAACAAAGAGCCAACUUCUCCUGCUAAAUGCCAUGCUGGUUGCAUUCCAGUGUG
ensembl:misc_RNA 7SK 7SK RNA